CACACCGCCUCUGCCCGCUAGU
rnacentral:miRNA from 1 species